rnacentral:snoRNA from 1 species
GGCUGUCAGCACAGGCUGUUCUCAUGCUGACUGUGUAGACAGUAGGCUCUCCCCAUGUACACCUCAGCCCCGGCCCUGUGCCUGGUCUGUAUUGUGAAUGGGGAGACAUGG